rnacentral:lncRNA from 1 species
AUGUGGACACCUCCUAGUGGUCUGGUUGUUAAGAGUGUUUAUCAGACCAUGUGGACACCUCCUAGUGGUCUGGUUGUUAGGAGAGUUUAUCAGACCACGUGGACACCUCCUAGUGGUCUGGUUGUUAGGAGUGUUUAUCAGACAAUGUGGACAUCUCCUAGUGGUGGGGUUGUUAGGAGUGUUUAUCAGACCUUGUGGACACCUCCUAGUGGUCUGGUUGUUAGGAGUGUUUAUCAGACCAUGUGGACACCUCCUAGUGGUGGGGUUGUUAGGAGUGUUUAUCAGACCAUGUGGACACCUCCUAGUGGUGGGGUUGUUAGGAGUGUUAAUCAGACCAUGUGGACACCUCCUAGUGGUCUGGUUGUUAGGAGUGUUUAUCAGACCAUGUGGACACCUCCUAGUGGUGGGGUUGGUAGGAGUGUUUAUCAGACCAUGUGGACACCUCCUAGUGGUCUGGUUGUUAUGAGUGUUUAUCAGACCAUGUGGACACCUCCUAGUGGUCUGGUUGUUAUGAGUGUUUAUCAGACCAUGUGGACACCUCCUAGUGGUCUGGUUGUUAGGUGUGUUUAUCAGACCAUGUGGACACCUCCUAGUGGUCUGGUUGUUAUGAGUGUUUAUCAGACCAUGUGGACACCUCCUCGUGGUCUGGUUGUUAGGUGUGUUUAUCAGACCAUGUGGACACCUCCUAGUGGUGGGGUUGUUAGGAGUGUUUAUCAGACCAUGUGGACACCUCCUAGUGGUCUGGUUGUUAGGUGUGUUUAUCAGACCAUGUGGACACCUCCUAGUGGUGGGGUUGUUAGGAGUGUUUAUCAGACCAUGUGGACACCUCCUAGUGGUCUGGUUGUUAGGAGUGUUUAUCGGACCUUGUGGACACCUCCUAGUGGUCUGGUUGUUAGGAGUGUUUAUCAGACCAUGUGGACACCUCCUAGUGGUGGGGUUGUUAGGAGUGUUUAUCAGACCAUGUGGACACCUCCAAGUGGUGGGGUUGUUAGGAGUGUUUAUCAGACCAUGUGGACACCUCCUAGUGGUCUGGUUGUUAGGAGUGUUUAUCAGACCAUGUGGACACCUCCUAGUGGUGGGGUUGUUAGGAGUGUUUAUCAGACCAUGUGGACACCUCCUAGUGGUGGGGUUGUUAGAAGUGUUAAUCAGACCAUGUGGACACCUCCUAGUGGUGGGGUUGUUAGGAGUGUUAAUCAGACCAUGUGGACACCUCCUAGUGGUGGGUUGUUAGGAGUGUUUAUCAGACCAUGUGGACACCUCCUAGUGGUCUGGUUGUUAGGAGUGUUUAUCAGACCAUGUGGACACCUCCUAGUGGUCUGGUUGUUAGGAGUGUUUAUAAGACCAUGUGGACACCUCCUAGUGGUGGGUUUGUUAGGAGUGUUUAUCAGACCAUGUGGACACCUCCUAGUGGUCUGGUUGUUAGGAGUGUUUAUCAGACCAUGUGGACACCUCCUAGUGGUGGGGUUGUUAGGAGUGUUUAUCAGACCAUGUGGACACCUCCUAGUGGUGGGGUUGUUAGGAGUGUUUAUCAGACCAUGUGGACACCUCCUAGUGGUCUGGUUGUUAGGAGUGUUUAUCAGACCAUGUGGACACCUCCUAGUGGUGGGGUUGUUAGGAGUGUUUAUCAGACCAUGUGGACACCUCCUAGUGGUCUGGUUGUUAGGUGUGUUUAUCAGACCAUGUGGACACCUCCUAGUGGUCUGGUUGUUAGGAGUGUUUAUCAGACCAUGUGGACACCUCCUAGUGGUGGGGUUGUUAGGAGUGUUUAUCAGACCAUGUGGACACCUCCUAGUGGUCUGGUAG